UACGUAGGGGGCAAGCGUUGUCCGGAUUUAUUGGGCGUAAAGAGCGUGUAGGCGGCCACGCACGUCCGUUGUGAAAUCGCCCGGCUCAACUGGGCGGGGUCAGCGGAUACGGUGUGGCUAGAGCAAGCUAGGGGGCAAUGGAAUCCCGGUGUAGUGGUGGAAUGCGUAGAUAUCGGGAGGAACACCAGUGGCGAAGGCGGUUGCCUGGAGCUUUGCUGACGCUGAUGCGCGAAAGCGUGGGGAGCGAGUCCGG
rnacentral:rRNA from 1 species